AUGAAUUUACUUCGGCAAGCAUUAGCCGUCGCAAGUUUUUAACAGUUUGCUACUGCAAAACACUUGCCGUCGCUUUAGGGUGGUUAUCUGAACGAUUCUAUCUCUUUAAUUAAAAGAAAACUUCUUUUCUUUCUCUGCGCUGCUCUCUUUCUUCUUUGACCCCAUGACUCCAUCUCGAUCCGACACUGAUGAUUACUUUCAGAUUUCCUCUCUAGAUCUGCCAAAUUCGUAGCAGAAUGUAACCGCCGACUAAUUGCUUCGAUUUCGGUCCUGUCAAGUUUACCAGGCUAUCUACAAACCAAUCGUUCCUCUCAAGAUCCUUCCUUUGGGUGAGAAACAAAAGGAAAAGAGAACUUAAUUGGGAAAGGUGGGCAAGCAGAAGCUCACAUUAGCCACCCCAAUGCUGUUUAAUUGCUUGGAUUUGGCAUCAAUGGUGUUUGCAAACAGAGAUAAAGACAAUAUUUUAGCAGGGUAGAUGGAGAAGGGAUUUGAAGAUGCAGAAUGAGUCAACGUAAUGGUGGUCAGAAGUUGGAGCUGCACGAUUCAGUACGAGAGGGGGGUCAAAACAUGGAACUGAUGCAUGAUCGCGUUUUAAAAUAUCCAGAUCGUGUUCAGAAUUUGUACUUCACAUUCCUCUUUGUUCUCCGGGCAGUGACAAAAAUAGAAAACGGACACAUAUCUUGAGGAAGAUGGAGGAAGAUCCCUGCAAAGCUUUUCUUGAAGUAGAGGAAGAAAAGUACCUUGUAUUAUCUUGUAAACUCUUGUAUAAGAGCUUCAUUGCUUUUGUAACAUUCAUGAGAAAAAUCAAAAUGUAACAUUCCCUUUUCAAUAUGUUUAAUUCCUUUUUGUACA